UACAGAGGUCCCAAGCGUUGUUCGGAUUCACUGGGCGUAAAGGGUGCGUAGGCGGUCGGGUAAGUCUGAUGUGAAAUCUCACAGCUUAACUGUGAAACUGCAUUGGAUACUAUCCGGCUCGAGGAAUGGAGGGGAGACUGGGAUACUUGGUGUAGCAGUGAAAUGCGUAGAUAUCUGGAGGAACACCGGUGGCGAAGGCGGCAUCCUGGACCAACACUGACGCUGAUGAGCGAAAGCCAGGGGAGCAAACGGG
rnacentral:rRNA from 1 species